CAAAAGGUAGUUUAAUGAAAAUUCCGGUUUUGGGGGCCGGGGAUGAAGGUUUGGAUCCUUCUUUUUUGA
rnacentral:tRNA from 1 species